AUAAUAUUAUCUAGUUUAACGCAUGUACUCAGCUGUAUUACAUUGUCCUGCGUGUAUUCUUAUUGUCUUCAAAGAAAGACGGGUUUUAGAAAGUGACCCAUAGGUCUGAUUGACAAUAAAAUUAUAGGGGGAAAAGAGACUCGGUGUGUACGUAUGUAUACAUAUAUUACGUGUACAAGUAUUUUAAAUCUAUAAUCGUGAGAUGAGACCAAAAUAAAUCUGCCACACAGAUAUCUAUAUUGAUAUAUAUAUUACAUUUACCAGUUUUCAAAGUUUAAAAUAAUAUCAGAAUUCGGAGCGCCGCGCAUCAGAUAUAUAUAUAUAUUAAUUAUGGUAGUUAUUCAUCAGUCCCUGAAAUAGCUUGUUAUACCGUGUGUGUGUGUACAUACAUAUAUCAAUGUAUAUAUGUAUAUGUACCUGGUAUACUGCAGUGAGACUGGAAAAUAACCGCGUAUCCAUGACCGCUCAGGAAACAGGUAUAUUAUCCUUUGUCUCACGUAGUUCGCGUGAUAAUCGCAUGUAUAAAAUUGCAAAUGAAAUAAUUGUCCUUGUACAGUAAUAUAUGAUAGACGAAGUCCUAGAUUUAAUUAUUUCAAAGUAGAGACAAGCGUCGUUAUAAUAUUAUUUUAUACGCGUUUAAACCAUGAAUAAAUUUGCAAGACGCCCGGAAAAAAGAAAGGUAAAGAGCGUCCUUGCAAGCGUCGGUCUGACCAUAUGAAUAUUAAAAUUUAUUUCUAAUCAAAGUUCAGUAUAUAAUUGUUCGAUGAAGCUAUAAAUUCAUUUAUAAUUCGCAGGUAACUAGUCGCAAUAGUCAACGAUGAUUAAACACCGUUUAAAUUCAAAUGAAGAACCAAAAGAAUAUCGAACUCUCUCUAUCUCUAGGCGUGGCGCAGCGGCCAUUUUGGUGUAACGGUGCAAAUCGCCGGCGGUUUCCGGCAAAGACAAAAUUACGAAAUCAAAAACUAUCGGUAUCGAAUAAUAUAAGGGAGAAAAACCGGAUAGAAUCGAGGAAUGAAAAAGAAGCUAUUCAAGGAGGAUAUUUACCGUGACAGCCGUUGCGGUGCCGAUGGCGAUAAGUAACACAAGUAACUUGAUCAUUUUUGCAAAUAAAAAAUAAUCGUUUGUUACAGAAAAAAAAAUUCGCUCAAAAAUUAUGAAUUACGAUUCCGUUUACUUUGGAGGUUGGCUAAGAACUGACUCAACUGAACGAACGGGACGCGAGAGCUGACGAGACUCGUUCGCGAGUAUGUACAUUAUACGCUUUGAAACAGGCUGAAUAAACGUGUGUAUAGCAUAGAAUGGUCGUACCUACAGUAUAAAUAUGUACAUGUACGUGUACAUAAGUAUGUUGAUACAAAGGAAAGGCCGUGGAUUCCUUGGUCAGAUAAUGGUGGGGGGAAAAAUUUCGUAUCGGCGAAGAGCAUGAAGAGAACGAGCGAACGAACGGACGAUGAUGCCGGCUGGUAAACACGCAAAGCACGCUAUGUAUUCGUAUCUAUAUAUGUAUUUGUAUUUACUAGAUGGGUGUAGAUACGUAUAUGCACCUUACAUACACCAGAGUAAACGCUUUGGCUUUCUGUACCACCGAGCUUGACGGACAUACACGUAUACGUGUGUGUGUGUGUGUGUGUGUAACGUACCUAGGCAUACGGGUUUGAUUCUGAAAGUGUUCAUCACGAAUCAUACAUACCAAUCUAGCAAUAGCCAUACCCAUAUUCCCGAAGAGUUUCAGAAUCGGAACAUCUAAGCGCACCUCUAUAUAUACCUGCACACUAACCUGACCGCGUGGGGCUAUGUCAGGUAUAUAAAAAGAAGUAAAAUAAGACGAUGGAAACUAUAUGGAACUUGAAAGAGCUGAUGAGAACUCGACGCCGAACGUAACAACUAUCUCUCUACCUUUAACGGUUUCUUGCUCCGUAAGUUUCGAGGAACAUGUACACGGGUAUAUAUGUAGAUACGAUACAUUAUAUAUUGCGUGCGGACGAUUUGGAACACGGGAAUUAGUUUUUAGGACCUUUUGGGACACGGUCAAAUUUUUUUUUUCCUCUCAGGCUACUUAUAAUAUUGCACGGGCUACGCCCGGAGGAUCUCCACUUCAGCGACGGUGUUCGAUUUUUAAAAUUCAAACGCGUUUUAUACGCGGGGCCAAUAUUAUUAUACCGUAUAAAUUAUCGGGCCGCUUUUAGUCACGUAAUACGGUAUUUUUGGUUUCGGCGAAAUCUUUUUACGAUUCCUAAAUUUGAACUACCGCUGACCAUGUAUUAGUUACGUAAAAUUUUUUUAAAAUAUCGUACCAACCAGUUAUGGAUUAUUCGCAUCUUCGUUCUUAAGUAUAUAUAUAUGUAUAAUUUUUUUUCACUUCUUUCUUUCCUCUCCAGUUUACACUUACUCGAGAAUUAAAUUAAUAUAGCUCUAUGUGCUAUAGGUUGAAAUUAGCUUCUUACACCGCUGCAUAUUUUCACGAUUCUAUGUGGGUGUGAGACUAUGCCGCGUAACAAUAGUACAUCGUUUAUUAUUAUACACUCAUGUACUGGCGAUUCACAUUUGCUCACACGUAACUAAACAUUCUAUACUUCUUUAUGUCUGUCUAACUAUUGGCAUAAUAUAAUGGACGUUUCCUCUGAUGAAAAUUACAUGAAAAAUUGUUACAGAGCAUUCGCAAAUUUAAAUGUGCGGUUUAAAUAUACAUAUAAUGUGAUAUGUGAUCGUACAGCAGACGAAAUUAAUUCUGCGUGAAAAUAAUUAUACUAUAAAUACCAUGUUCACUUUAAUCGUGAUAAAUUCUCGUUUAUGAAGAAAAGAAGGAAAAAUGAAAUGAAAAAAAAUCCCAUCAGCGUAAUUAAAAUGUAUAUAUUCGUCCGACUGAUGCUGAGUUUCGUGAAAUAUAAAUAUUCGGGAUAGUAUAUAUGUUGUAUUUUAAACUCUGAGAAAUUCAGAAUGGACUUGAACCGAUAGGCUUCGCUGGGGUAUCAGAUUUCGAUUCGUUGCUUCAAUACAUUAUGAAUAAACUUUUUUUUAUCGCUGACGUUUACCGGUAAUAACUCAUCGUUUGUGUGAUUUUUGUUACGCAUAUAACUUGUGAAAUCAAUGUCCAUAAUGCGGGAAGAAAAUGCGAUAUGCGGUAUGUAUUUAUCUGCAGCAAAGAAUUGUGAUAAACUGCCGCAGCUUAUGUAUCAUGCCGCGAGCAUAAUAAUAUAAUCAUUGGCGGAGAUUAGGUCCUGCCGGAAGUGUUGGUGACAACUUGAAAUCCAUAUACACGUUUCAUAAGUAUACUCGUGCGAAUACCUAUGUAUGAAUCUGGGAGUUUGUUCAAUUAUUUCAAUGUAGGUACAAUCAUAGAUGUACAAUAAUUGUCAAUUCAACUCUUUGACUCAUAAAUUAUUAUAACGAAAGCUUCAAUUGCUACUGUAGCGCUGUACGGUUGGAUAUAAAAAAAUUAGAUCAAUUGCAACCGACUGUAUGGAAGAAUUUUUGCCGCGCCCAUUUUCCUUUAUUAUACAUAUACGCUAGACUAUCCAACUAUAGCUACCUAUGUAAUAUCUUCUCUCGACGUGAAACCAUCAUAAAAAUUAUCCUGUAGCCAUUAUAUUUGUGAAGUUAAUUAAUUUUGUUACUUCGUUUAAAAACUUCAGACUUGAAAUUUUAGAACAUUUUUAAAUUAAACGACUCUCCCUAAUGGACAAUGUGCGUGUGGGAGUACGUACACCCCAUUAAAUUGAGAUCAAACAAAAAUAUUUCAGUUUGAAUUCAAAAGUGCCAAGUAACAAUGGAGAGGAAACUUUCAACUAUGAUCGGUAGAAAUGGCUUCGGAGAAAAGUGAGCCGAAGGAAGCGAGGGUCUGAUUACAAAGUUGAACAACGAUUUCGUUUCGAAUAUCUUCGUGUCAAAUGAUGGAGACGAGAAGGAGUGAACCCGUGGGCCCUUACUUUCAAUUGAAACGUCU
rnacentral:lncRNA from 1 species